rnacentral:lncRNA from 12 species
AUUUGUACUUAUAAGAUUUUUACUGCAAGUUAAAUUAUCUUUUUUUUUUUUUUACUCUGGGGAAAGUCAUGUGUAGUAAUUGAUAGAAUCAAAAGAGAAAUCUGUGAGAGACACAGCUAUGUUAGCUAAAGGUUAGCAUUUUAAAAUAGAGAAAAGAACCAACCAAUUUUUCCAUGAGGGGAGAGGAGAUAUUUGCUAUUUCCCUGUGUGACUGUCUUGUGUAAUUUUGAAUAACUUAUUAUUCCUGCUCUAACACUAUCUUUCCUCUUUCCCCAAUAGACACCAAUAAAAUACAGAUGGUAAAGGUUAGAGCACUUUCCUGGAGAGAACAUCUGGAUGUUUCAUGACCUUCACAACCUGGUGGCUUCUGAGCAGAGUAACCCAAGGAGAUUUGUGUGAUCUCACUGGGUGCUGAGUGCUUAUGAAGACUCCAAAGAUAUCCUUUGCCAAUACUCUUAAUGAAUAAGCUGCUUACAUCUGGAGCUGGGCUCUGUUGCUACAGAAGAUGCUUCCUGCAUAUUUUCCUCCACAGAAAAUUGAUGCUACAUAAGCCAGUGGCUCUGGGCUGCUCCUUCUUGCAAACAAGGUGCAGAGGGAGGGGUGAAGUGCAACUUUUCAGAGUCUGGGGUAAAUUUUGUGCAAAGUUUAAAUACAUUUAGCAAAGAACCUAUCUUGUGGACUGAGAAUGAUUGCUGAAUGCUUUGGGCACUUUGACCUCUGCCACUGUGGAGUCAGAGUAGAGGACAUGGCAUUGGUAAUUCAGAAUAUUAGAGUACUG